rnacentral:tRNA from 1 species
CCCUGGUGGCUCAGAGGGUAAAGCGUCUGCCUGCAAUGCAGGAAACCCGGCUUCGAUUCCUGGAUCAGGAA